rnacentral:rRNA from 1 species
UACGGGGGGGGCAAGCGUUGUUCGGAAUUACUGGGCGUAAAGGGCUCGUAGGCGGCCAACUAAGUCAGACGUGAAAUCCCAGGCUCAACCUGGGAACUGCGUCUGAUACUGGAUGGCUUGAAUUCGGGAGAGGGAUGCAGAAUUCCAGGUGUAGCGGUGAAAUGCGUAGAUAUCUGGAGGAAUACCGGUGGCGAAGGCGGCAUCCUGGACCGACAUUGACGCUGAGGAGCGAAAGCUAGGGGAGCAAACGGG